GAAAAUAUACUGAAAACUCCAGAUAGCCUAAAACUCCGAAAAUCACUGUUCCAUGGAAUUUGUAGAGUGAUCUCGAAGCUUCAGGUUCUGAAAAACAAAUUCCAGUUUGAAUAACGUUGAAAAAUGGCUUGAAUAGUCAUGUUUCAGUAAUUGUGGUUUCCUGAAGUUCCUGGGGUCAUUUCUGGGUUUAUUUGAGUUCAUUCGAGCUGGUUUCUGAGUGUUUCACCGGUGUUGUUCAUUUAAAAUUAACUGUUGGUCUAUUGAGAUAUCAUUUUUGGGUCAAAAU
rnacentral:lncRNA from 1 species